CUGUGCUCACCGAGUGCUUUUCUAGUCUUUAUCUGUAUUUAUCCCUGCAAGAUGCUGAUUGUCAGCAAAAAAAGGGCUGUCCCACUCCUCUUUCUACCACCCCAGGCCCUUGCAGUCUCAUGCAGUCAAUUACAUUCAAGAUCCUGCUGCUUGGGGCUUGGCAGGCUGCGCCACUAAAGAAAUGGUUCCAGGAGGGUAAGGCAUGCCACCAGAUGGAACAAAACCAUGGUGCAGACUAAGCACAGUGCUCACGGAUGCUGUCAGCUCCCCUGACUUCACGAGGCAACUUUCCCGCAGGCUGGAAGAAUUCUUGAUAUAAUUAUCACUGGUCACUUGGUCUAAGGGGAAACCCUGGCAAGGUCACAGUGCUUCAGGAAGAUCAGAUGAUACUCUCACAGUUGCUCUGCUGCUGACAGGUGGAUGACUGCAGAUCACUCAGCACUGGAGAAAGUUGAAACUCACAGACGCUGUAGCGGCUCGUCUGUCUGCAGAAAGAGGAAGCUGACACCAGAGAGCUCAGUGUUUGAGAUAAGGCUGCACUUUAACAGCAAUAAACUGAGGCGUAUCAAUAAGGUUGA